UACGGAAGGGGCAAGCGUUGUUCGGAAUCAUUGGGCGUAAAGGGCGCGUAGGUGGUCGUGUAUGUCUACCGUGAAAGCGUACGGCUCAACCGUAUUUAGUCGGUAGAAACUGCAGGACUUGAGGCUGGGAGGGGCUGGUGGAAUUCCCUGUGUAGCGGUGAAAUGCGUAGAUAUCUGGAGGAACACCGGUGGCGAAGGCGGCAUCCUGGACCGACACUGACGCUGAGGCGCGAAAGCUAGGGGAGCAAACGGG
rnacentral:rRNA from 1 species